rnacentral:misc_RNA from 1 species
AAGUCGUAACAAGGUAAUCGUAGGUGAACCUGCGGUUGGAUCAUUCGAAAUAGGAGGCAUGUCGUCGCACCUAUCAGAGGAGGCAUGUCGUCGCACGCAGUGUGACGGCAGGACGACUCUCACAAAAAGUGUCGACUCUCACAAAAAGUGUCGACUCUCCUUUUAGAGAGGAGACACAAUCACAAAAAGUGUCGACUCUCACAAAAAGUGACGACUCUCACAAAAAGUGUCGACACAAUCACACCUAAAAACAAGAAAAGUGAUGAUGAUGGCAUAUGCCCAUCUCUUUUACACAAUCCAUCAUACGACAUGACAUGACAUGACAUGGCAAUACUAUAACUUUUGACAAUGGAUCUCUUGGUUCUC